GGUGCUUGCGUGGGCAACACAUACUGAAAUUGGAAUGAUGUAGAGAUUAGCGUGGCCCCUGCACAAGGAUGACACACAGAUUCAUAGGGCAUUCCAUUUUUUU
rnacentral:snRNA from 1 species